rnacentral:rRNA from 1 species
CCUACGGGAGGCAGCAGUGGGGAAUAUUGCACAAUGGGGGAAACCCUGAUGCAGCGACGCCGCGUGAGUGAAGAAGUAUUUCGGUAUGUAAAGCUCUAUCAGCAGGGAAGAAAAUGACGGUACCUGACUAAGAAGCCCCGGCUAACUACGGGCCAGCAGCCGCGGUAAUACGUAGGGGGCAAGCGUUAUCCGGAUUUACUGGGGUUAAAGGGAGCGUAGACGGCAGAGCAAGUCUGAAGGGAAAGGCCGGGGCUCAAACGCGGGACUGCUUUGGAAACUGCCCGGCUAGAGUGCAGAAGAGGUAAGCGGAAUUCCUAGUGUAGCGGUGAAAUGCGUAGAUAUUAGGAGGAACACCAGUGGCGAAGGCGGCUUACUGGACAGUAACUGACGUUGAGGCUCGAAAGCGUGGGGAGCAAACAGGAUUAGAUACCCGUGUAGUC